GCUGGGCACCAUGGCACGUGCCUGUGGUCCCAGCUACUGGGGAUACUGAGGCCGGAGGACUGCUAGAGACCAGGAGUUCUGAGCUGCAAUGCACUGUGUCUAUCGGGUGUCCGCACUAAGUUUGGCAUCGGUGUGGUGGCCUCCUGGGAGCGGGGGACCACCAUGUUGCCUAAGGAGAGGUGAACUGGUCCAGGUUGGAAAUGGAGCAGGUUGAAACUCCCAUGCUGAUCAGCAGUGGGAUCACGCCUGUGAAUAGCCACUGCACUCCAGCCUGGGCAACACAGUGAGACACUGCCUCU
rnacentral:SRP_RNA from 1 species